GGAAUUCCUUGGUGUAGCGGUGGAAUGCGCAGAUAUCAGGAGGAAACACCGAUGGCGAAGGCAGAUCUCUGGGCCGUAACUGACGCUGAGGAGCGAAAAGGGUGGGGAGCAAACAGGCUUAGAUACCCUGGUAGUCCACCCCGUAAACGUUGGGAACUAGUUGUGGGGUCCAUUCCACGGAUUCCGUGACGCAGCUAACGCAUUAAGUUCCCCGCCUGGGGAGUACGGCCGCAAGGCUAAAACUCAAAGGAAUAGACGGGGACCCGCACAAGCGGCGGAGCAUGCGGAUUAAUUCGAUGCAACGCGAAGAACCUUACCAAGGCUUGACAUAUACGAGAACGGGCCAGAAAUGGUCAACUCUUUGGACACUCGUAAACAGGUGGUGCAUGGUUGUCGUCAGCUCGUGUCGUGAGAUGUUGGGUUAAGUCCCGCAACGAGCGCAACCCUCGUUCUAUGUUGCCAGCACGUAAUGGUGGGAACUCAUGGGAUACUGCCGGGGUCAACUCGGAGGAAGGUGGGGAUGACGUCAAAUCAUCAUGCCCCUUAUGUCUUGGGCUUCACGCAUGCUACAAUGGCCGGUACAAAGGGCUGCAAUACCGCGAGGUGGAGCGAAUCCCAAAAAACCGGUCCCAGUUCGGAUUGAGGUCUGCAACUCGACCUCAUGAAGUCGGAGUCGCUAGUAAUCGCAGAUCAACAACGCUGCGGUGAAUACGUUCCCGGGUCUUGU
rnacentral:rRNA from 1 species